CUCUGUAUACAGGGAGAUCACGGGUGCCAAGUCACGCGUCAGGCGUAUGUUCUGGCGGUGGCGCUCAUGGGUGGAACAUUGACAUUGAUGCCGGCUGAUGUGCCGGGCUGCUAGUACGCCUCCUUGUGGGGUGGGAAAAUGGUCUGGUGUGUCGAGGGCAUGUUGCACGCUGUUGGGUCCUGAGGGACCGGGCCGCACCUUUUGGUGUGUCUGGUUUCUUGUCGGACCCUUUCCGUCGUCCCUUGAGUGGAUGGUGGUGGGGUACCGCCCGUAUAUUGAGAACUACACAGUGGACGCGAGCAUCUUAGAUUCACCGGUUUACCCGGUGGAUCACAAAGAUCUAUUUAUAGAUCAUUGGUCAAUUCUGUCUCCUCUAGGGGAGGCGAAACGAUUCAAUCUCAUGUGAUUUCAAGAUUCUAAGAGCAAACGGUGGAUGCCUUGGCAUCUGGAGCCGAAGAAGGACGUAUAAAUCUGCGAUAAGCCUCGGGGAGCUGAUAAUAGAGCU
rnacentral:misc_RNA from 1 species